rnacentral:rRNA from 1 species
UACGGGGGGAGCAAGCGUUGUUCGGAUUUACUGGGCGAAAAGGGCGCGUAGGCGGCCACCGCAAGUCAGUUGUGAAAUCUCUGGGCUUAACCCAGAAAGGGCAACUGAUACUGCGGGGCUAGAGUGCAGAAGGGGCAACUGGAAUUCUCGGUGUAGCGGUGAAAUGCGUAGAUAUCGAGAGGAACACCUGCGGCGAAGGCGGGUUGCUGGGCUGACACUGACGCUGAAGCGCGAAAGCUAGGGGAGCGAACGGG